GACGAACUCUGGCGGCGUGCUUAACACCUGCAAGUCGCACGGAGUGGCGAACGGGUGAGUAACACGUGGGUGACCUGCCCUGCACUUCGGGAUAAGCCUGGGAAACUGGGUCUAAUACCGGAUAGUGUGGGAUGGGCCCGCGGCCUAUCAGCUUGUUGGUGGGGUAUUGGCCUACCAAGGCGGCGACGGGUAGCCGGCCUGGGAGGGUGGACGGCCACAUAGGGACUGAGACACGGCCCAGACUCGUAAGAGAGGCAGCAGUGGUGAAUAUUGCACAGUGGGCGGAAGAAUGAUGCAGCGACUCCGCGUGGGGGAUGACGGCCUUCGGGUUGUAAACUCCUUUCACCAGGGACGCGGUAGAUGGAGAAGAAGCACCGGCUAACUACGUGCCAGCAGCCGCGGUAAUUC
rnacentral:rRNA from 1 species